GAGUUUGAUCCUGGCUCAGGACGAACGCUGGCGGCGUGCUUACACAUGCAAGUUGAACGGGCAUACAUGGAAGCUUGCUGAAGUGUAUGUUAGUAGCGGACGGGUGAGUAAUGCAUGAGGACCUGCCUGCCGGAGGGGGACAACAGUUGGAAACGGCUGCUAAUACCCCGUAUGCCGAGAGGUGAAAGGAAUGGAGACAUUCCGCCGGGAGAGGGACUCAUGUCCUAUCAGCUGGUUGGUGAGGUAACGGCUCACCAAGGCGACGACGGGUAGCCGGCCUGAGAGGGCGACCGGCCACACUGGAACUGAGAGACGGUCCAGACUCCUACGGGAGGCAGCAGUGGGGAAUAUUGGGCAAUGGGGGCAACCCUGACCCAGCGACGCCGCGUGAGGGAAGAAGGCCUUCGGGUCGUAAACUUCUUUUGUACGUGAAGAAGCAGAUGACGGUAGCGUACGAAUAAGUCCCGGCUAACUACGUGCCAGCAGCCGCGGUAAUACGUAGGGGACGAGCGUUGUCCGGAAUUACUGGGCGUAAAGGGCGCGCAGGCUGCGCGUCGAGUCGGCUGUUAAAGAUCCGGGCUUAACCCGGUGAAGCGGUCGAGACCGACGAGCUGGAGUGCUGCAGAGGCAAGUGGAAUUCCCGGUGUAGCGGUGAAAUGCGUAGAUAUCGGGAAGAACACCGGUGGCGAAGGCGACUUGCUGGGCAGCAACUGACGCUGAGGCGCGAAAGCCAGGGGAGCAAACGGGAUUAG
rnacentral:rRNA from 1 species